AAUGCCUUCCACAGGAGGAUCCAUUGGAUUCCAAGAAGGUCAACACCAUAGUAGACUACACAACGCAACAUUUCAGCCUACUUCCAGGGCAGCUGGAGAACUCGUCCUCCUUACUAGCCCGGGGAUAUUAAAUGGAUGUGUUCAAGCACAAA
rnacentral:lncRNA from 1 species